CGGCCGCCGCGGCUCCCGCCAGGGCACUGCAAAGACGACCUGCCGCAUUCCCACUCGGGCUCUCCGCUGACUCAGCACCGCCCCUGCGCCAAGCCAGCCGGCCAGUAGGUGUUCAGUGAGUCCUGAAUGAAGAAAGAAUAUUUUGCUAUGUUGGAUGCUGUGGGGAAGACCCAAGGAAAUUUUUGCAAGCAGGGAGAGGGAGACAUUUCUGGAAGACCGGAAGACCUUUCUGGAAGAGAUAAUGAAACAAGCCCAGAAAAGGAAGAGAGCCUUCAAAAAUGACGUUAAAUUCAUGGCAGACCUGAUACUAGAAACCAGAAGUCCCAGCAGGGUAGAAAUAUUCUCACUUAGACACCAGGCUAUGACUGUUCAGAGUGCAGCAGAGACUGCUUUUCGUCCUUCUGUUCUCACUCAGGUCCAGGAAUUAUGUGGGGUUUUCCAUUUAGGCCUUCUGCUUUUCAAGGCUCAUAAAAGCAGAUUA
ensembl:lncRNA novel transcript, sense overlapping KCNA1